GCAAAGAAUAUCCAAGACGAUAACCAGUUUUAGAUACGCACGAAAUGGAAUGCGCAUCUAAUGUAAAUGAGGAUUAUGGAGCCGAGACCAAAUUGGUGAAAAAGACCCGAUACGAAGACGAGAGUGAAAAGUACGACAUGCCUAACACCAGAUCGAAAAGUGUCACCCGUGGAUCUUGUGCUGGCAAUUCGUGUACAACGUCAUCGGAUAUAUCUCCUAUUGCUGGGCCGUCUGGUUAUCGUCUUGGAUAUUCUUUGCGAUCCAUGUCCGGUAACAGAAAUCCAGUGGCCUCCCUUGGGGAAUCAAACUGUGAAAUUUCCAAAGAAGUUCUGGGUGGAGGGACUCAUGCCAGGAUUCUCAUUUUGAGUCUGCUGUGGGUUUUGGUUGGCAAUUCCUUGAAGGAAUUGCAUGGCUGCAUCGGCGAUGGUCCUUAUUAUAGGUUGUGACAGCAAAUCUUGAAUGUCUUUUAAACCGUCCAUUUUGGACGAGAAUAAAACAUCUAACUAUUACGUUGUUUCAAGUAAACGUUACGUCACCAUGCGUUUAAUGGUGGUUUUUCUCGUGUGGCGCUAUUGUUGGGACGGCGCCACCGUCGCUAUCAGCUGAAAAAACCAAUAAUUUCACGAAGUGAAGAUCUCCAAUUUUUAUCAGCUGCCAUCGUCAGCCCAGAUGGUCUUCCUUUUUAAGUGACUUCAAAGUUGCUCCAACACAUGGUGAGCCCACCAUCAAUGUGACUGAUCUAAGGACUAAAACAUAUGUAUCCAUAUUGACUGGAAAUCCUCAUACCCCUUGGUGCAUUGCUUGCCAUCUUCAUUGAAAUAUCGUCCUAGAAACAGGAUGUCUUGGAGGCAAGUGUCUGAAGUUUGUGUUUGGGGCUUGUCUGUAAGAGUGGGAGAAAAAUGUGGUUAGCAGCAACCACAGAAGUAAACACAGUGAUUACUUCACUUCUUGUAUUUCUGGGAUUGGGAUAUUCCCCAUUUGCCAAAUAACUUACAGCCAAUAAGAAGCAGAAACUCUGGUAUAUUCUUCUUUAUCUAUCACUCAUCCAACCAAUAGCCUCCCCUUACAUGAAUAUGUCAGUUUUGACCCUUUGUGUAAUUUGUUACUUGCUAGAAUAUCCAGCACUUGUGGCAUAUCUGACUUUGUGUCUGGUGUAACAAGUGGCCCUUUAACAUUAUGAAUUCCUUCUCGAGUUCUGAAUCCUAUACUGUACCGACUCGAGUGCAAUUAACGCAACCUUCUAAGCCGUUAUCAAUCAUGAUUUACGGAAAUACGAAAGACUACGAGUUCGUUAUCAGGAACUACGCCUUCGCGAUGCAGAACUGGAACUUAACGCCUCGGCUGUAGUCAGUGGACCAGCAGCAGCAGCAACAAUAACAACAACUUCCUUUCAUAUUAAUAGCGAAGUGCAUACACUUCUGUCGCUCCAACUCCUGCUAGCGUUCCUUUCGCUUCCAUAGUUGAACCGUCCAUAAGUAACCGUAGCCGCUCCCACCCCCUUCUGUUGAAUCAAAUAUAUUGAACGCCUAUCCGUCCAGCGACAGCUUCUGGCGCACGCUGAUGAACGCGGCCGAGAAUCUGAGAUCAGUUUUUUCGUCCCUUGAUGGAAUGGCUAGAGUCUCGUUUCCGACUUCAGCGUUAGCCAAUGAGUAUAUUGACCCAGCUGAACGAAGCCAGCCGCUGUAGCCAACCGCAUUGGUACAAGUAACGAAACAUUAAUCGCUUCAUAAGGACCGCAGUUUUUUGCCUGAUAAUUUAUUUUACAGGCUUCUGUGAAGAUGGUAUUUGUUUCAAGUGGUUAAUGUGAAGGUAAAUAACAUGGGUUAACGGCGGUGGAAGCAGUAUUCACUCCCAGCUCUCAACAGCCAUAGCGUUAUCAGCGACCAAAAACGAACUCUUUAUCUUCUCUUUCUUAUUGACGUUUUAAUAUGAUGGAAUGAAUUUGACAUAAUUUAACAACGGCACUUUUCACAAUCAUCAACAAACUUUACGAAGCAUGCCAAAAUUGUUAGGUUAGUGCAGCACCCUUACUUUUUAUCAAAAAAUUGUAGCGCCACACCCAUCUGCGCUGAAGAUUUGUAAACGGAAAGCGGAAUUGCCUUGUGAAACUCAAUAUCUAUUCCUCUUUAUUUACUAUGGCCAUAUCUAAACAAAAUCACAUGGCGAUGAAAAUGCUCCCCUCGCCCAUUGCUGAAUUUUCGCCGUAAUCUUUUCUUUUCGUUCACUUUUUUGAAACUAAAAAUGUUUUUCCUGUUAGGUUCGCCAUGUCUCAUUCCGGUCUAUUACAGCAGUAAGUUACACUCGUGUACAAAGGUGUGCAAGAUCACUUAAAGUGACUUUAUGAGAUGACUAAAGUGAAGGAUUAGCGGCUUGAAUCCGGUGGUCCAAAACUGAUACAGCUAUAAAUUGGGAAAAAUGUACCCAAUUGGUUUGAUCGUUCAACUUGACGGAUUGUGACAGGUAGCACGAGUGUAUGUGCACAGAUGAAGACCACCUAGUGCCAGUGGUCUUUAUCUGUGGUCAGGAUCAGCAACCCCAUCAGUUUCAAACAUUAGUUUGCUUGCAGUUGGGAUCAAGAUGAAAUGUGAAAAGGCCAUUUGUUAAGAGUUAUACAAUAUCAGCUGGGAGUCUGGUGGCUCCCAUAUACUGUUCACAAAUUAACAGAGGCAAGAACAAAUCCACUCAGAUAAUCAUCAUACUUGAGAAAGAAAUUUGUCAAAGUAAUGGAAACAAAGAAGGAUAAAAUGAAAACUGGAUGGAAAAGUUGUGAGAAGGUACGGCUGGUAAAAGUAGAUGACGAUGUUAUGCGGCAGUUACAUGUGGAAACUGAACCCAGAGUAGAAUCCGCUACCAGUAAACCAGCAGCCAACGGAACUUGAUCCACUCACUCCUGUACUGGCAUAAUUGUGGCACGUACUUGUAUUUCUGGGGGAGUCGAUAUCAAGGAAGAAAGCAGUGGCACACCCCAACCCAAAUCAUCAUUUACGCGCUUUUUCCCGAAACAAUCUGCUUAACUACCCGAUCACUGGACUCUCCGAGUUCCCCAAUGCAAAAUCCUCUUUCAGCGGAUGCCAAUCGGCCCAGUUGAUGCUCUUGGGCUUCAUAGCAUUUCUUCCUUGGGCUUACACGAAGAUGAACUUCCCGUCAUUCUUCUUUCAUAUUUUGCCUGUUUGCCAUGUAUUAAUGGAAAAGUGAACGAAUUGAAGAGAACGGCAGACUGAAGAGAGAAUCGUGAUUAUUAUCAUUCGCAGAUCUGCACAAUACAGAUUCGAAGGCUCUGAUUGAACGAGUUCCUCGUGUUCACAGGAUAUCCUUUGAAUGGUAACGAGACUAUCCAGCAAUUCAACGAUGGCUAAUCGCUCCGAUAAGCAUUAGAUUUAGAUAGACUGAACAUACCUUAACUCUGGAAGAAACCCUCGACUAACAGAGCAGAUACUUCGGCUUUCGCCAUCUACUCCGGAUGUGACGAUCCAUUCAAUUACGAGAUACGUGCAUCAUCAUGGACCACAUCCUACUUGCAACGGUGACGGUAUCGUUGGUACUUUCUUUAAAUUUUUAAGAAUACUGCUGGCAUUUAUGAUUGAAAUAGGUAGAACUUACGCGAAUUUUUUUUUUGUUUUUUAAGAUGACCUAUGAUUUGAUAUACUUUCAAGUGGAAGUGCAGUAGCUAGGUGAUCCGAUUAAAAAACGUGAAAAGCAUUAAUUUUCCAUCUUUUCCCUCGUUAGGUAAACUGAGUCAAACCAAAUUUGUGAAUUGACAAUUCUGUCAACUCAGUGUUUGUUGUUGUUGAAUCCUCAUAUGAAGGAAGGAGACUGAAAGCAGUGCAGGUGUGCAAGUGCGUCAUCAUAGACGCAGGUCAAUGACGCACGUCCUGUUUUAGUACACCAUUGUUUUUGGCAUUGUUUCAACAUGUUAGAUGGGAUAUAAAGGUGAACGAAACGCGAUAGCUAGCAAACAGAAGUGCGGGUAUGCAUAAGAUUCAAGCACAUUUGAUUUGAAACAUGGCUGCGUUAAAACCUUUUCACUCUUUUUUUUUAAAUAAAAUUGCAGACGAAUCGCUAUGGAAGUAUUAAUUAUACAGUUGGUUUCAAGCAAAUCAACUAUCACUCCAACAUGAAGUAAAAUCAAAUCCACAGUUAUGUAUUUUGCCAGCUGAACAACUAAAAAAUAGUCUAUUUUGACAAGGAAUCAGUUUAGUUCACCUUCUACAUGGUGACUAUUUCUUUUACUUCAAUAACUUAUUGAACCGUCCCAGCUGAUAGUUCGCAAGAAAACGAUGUGCUGGCCCUUUCGAUUUUUGUUAUUCAGAUUACAGACGUUUGGUUUCGAGUUAAAAACGUAUCUUGUAGUACUUUUAUGGUGUGAAACGGUUGUGUAGCUAACGAAUCGAGAAAUUGACAUUGGCGAACCUUCUUUCUCACGAAUCCCACCCAUUCCACUCCUCAGACACUUCAUUGAUAUGUCCAAAACAAAAAUGGGUCCAGAAGCAAUCCUUUUACAGCAGGAACACACAAAAUGAAUUUUGUUGUUCAAAUUCGAGUUUUUUUUUUGUUUUU
rnacentral:misc_RNA from 1 species